rnacentral:rRNA from 1 species
AUUGAACGCUGGCGGCAUGCCUUACACAUGCAAGUCGAACGGUAACGCGGGGCAACCUGGCGACGAGUGGCGAACGGGUGAGUAAUGCAUCGGAACGUGCCCAGUAGUGGGGGAUAGCCCGGCGAAAGCCGGAUUAAUACCGCAUACGACCUACGGGUGAAAGCGGGGGACCGUAAGGCCUCGCGCUAUUGGAGCGGCCGAUGUCAGAUUAGGUUGUUGGUGGGGUAAAAGCCUACCAAGCCGACGACCUGUAGCUGGUCUGGGAGGACGACCAGCCACACUGGGACGGGGACACGGCCCAGAGUCCUACGGGAGGCAGCAGUGGGGAAUUUUGGACAAUGGGGGCAACCCUGAUCCAGCCAUGCCGCGUGCGGGAAGAAGGCCUUCGGGUUGUAAACCGCUUUUGUCAGGGAAGAAACGCUCUGGGCUAAUACCCCGGGGUAAUGACGGUACCUGAAGAAUAAGCACCGGCUAACUACGUGCCAGCAGCCGCAGUAAAAC